rnacentral:miRNA from 1 species
AUGAGGAAAAGAAGUUAGGAGA